GCACUCUUUACAGUAUACUCCGGGCAGGCUCAUGCACCCGUUUCAAAAUACCAUUGACAGCUAUUUAGUAUUUUUACCAUCCUUCUUUACAAGUUCAAGUACCGAUGAUAGUCUCACACACACACUAGGUGUGGCCAAAAUGUCUCACACACACACACACACACACACACUCUCUAGGUGUGGCCAAAUUGUCACACACAUACUAGGUGUGGCCAAAAUGUCUCACACACACACACUAGGUGUGGCCAAAUUGUCACACACACACACACACACACACUAGGUGUGGCCAAAUUGUCACACACACACAAACACACACACACUAUGUGUGGCCAAAUUCUCUCACACACACACACACACUAGGUGUGGCCAAAUUGGCACACACACACCAAGUGUAGCCAAAUUGUCACACACACACACACACACACACACACUAGGUGUGGCCAAAUUGGCACACACACACCAGUGGUGGCCAAAUUGUCACACACACACACUAGGUGUGGCCAAAUUUUCACACACACACCAGGUGUGGCCAAAUUGUCACACACACACACACACACUAAGUGUGGCCAAAAUGUCUCUCACACACACACCAGGUGUGGCCAAAUUGUCACACACACACACUAGGUGUGGCCAAAUUGUCACACACACACACUAAGUGUAGCCAAAUUGUCACACACACACACACACACACACACUAGGUGUGGCCAAAUUGUCUCACACACACACACUAGGUGUGGCCAAAUUGUCUCACACACACCAAGUGUAGCCAAAAUGUCUCACACACACACACACACUAGGUGUGGCCAAAUUGUCACACACACACUAGGUGUGGCCAAAUUGUCUCACACACACCAAGUGUAGCCAAAUUGUCACACACUCACACACUAGGUGUGGCCAAAAUGUCUCACACACACACACUAGGUGUGGCCAAAUUGUCACACACACACACACCAAGUGUAGCCAAAUUGUCACACACACA